rnacentral:misc_RNA from 1 species
GAACAAGCAAAUUAAAGAUUUAGAUGGUGGCAUGGGAAUGUAUAGAAAAGGUGAAAUGUGUGGUACCACUGAAAAAGAGUGAAGAAGGUACUAUAGAUGCUAGGGUGUCAUUUUCUUCAUAAAAAAGAUAAACCACUUUCUCAUGUUUUCUUGACAUUGUUUGGUGUACCCAAGUUGGCUAAGGAAUAUUUUCUCAACACAUCAGCCUACCUUGAGUCUUUUCUGUCUAUUUUCAGUGGCUAAUCAUUGUCCCAAAGUAU